UACGUAGGGAGCGAGCGUUGUCCGGAUUCAUUGGGCGUAAAGAGCUCGUAGGCGGCUUGGUAAGUCGGAUGUGAAACCUCCAGGCUCAACCUGGAGUCGCCAUCCGAUACUGCCAUGGCUAGAGUCCGGUAGGGGCCCACGGAAUUCCUGGUGUAGCGGUGAAAUGCGCAGAUAUCAGGAGGAACACCGGUGGCGAAGGCGGGUCUCUGGGCCGAUACUGACGCUGAGGAGCGAAAGCGUGGGGAGCGAACAGG
rnacentral:rRNA from 1 species